GAUGAACGCUAGCGGCAGGCUUAAUACAUGCAAGUCGUGGGGCAGCAUGAAUGUAGCAAUACAUUUGAUGGCGACCGGCAAACGGGUGCGGAACACGUACGCAACCUUCCUUCAAGUGGGGAAUAGCCCAGGGAAACUUGGAUUAAUACCCCGUAAUAUUUCGGAGUGGCAUCACUCUGAUCUUAUAGCUACGGCGCUUGAAGAUGGGCGUGCGACUGAUUAGGUAGUUGGCGGGGUAACGGCCCACCAAGCCUGCGAUCAGUAACUGGUGUGAGAGCACGACCAGUCACACGGGCACUGAGACACGGGCCCGACUCCUACGGGAGGCAGCAGUAAGGAAUAUUGGUCAAUGGACGCAAGUCUGAACCAGCCAUGCCGCGUGGAGGAUGAAGGUCCUCUGGAUUGUAAACUUCUUUUAUUUGGGAAGAAACCCACGGUUUCUACUGUGGUUGACGGUACCAGAUGAAUAAGCACCGGCUAACUCCGUGCCAGCAGCCGCAGUAAAAC
rnacentral:rRNA from 1 species